rnacentral:ncRNA from 1 species
UUAAAGUUUAAUUCUAGCUUUAAGAUUUAUUUAAUUUUUUUUUUACAUGUAAAUUUUUAUGUGAAUAUUAAAGUAAUUUAAAAAAUUAUUUUUUUUUAUUUAUUCGCAGUAUUAAAUUUUAAUAAUUUAAGAAAUUGAGAAUUAUAAAUAAAUUUUAAUAUAGACAAAUUUUGUGCCAGCAGUUGCGGUUAUACAAAAUAUAUAAGUAAAUUUUUUUAGUUAAUAAUUAUAUGUUUUAAAAAUAAAAUAAAAUUAUAUUUAUUAAGUGAAAUUUUAAAUAUAAAUUAAUUUUUAAUUAAUUUUUUAUUAUUAUGAAAUUUAAUUUUAAACUAGGAUUAGAUACCCUAUUAUUUUAAAUGUAAAUUUAUUUGCUUAAUUAGUAUUAGUUAUGUUCUUCAAAUUUAAAGAUUUUGGCGGUAUUUUAGUCUAUUCAGAGGAACCUGUUCUGUAAUUGAUAUUCCACGAUUAACUUAACUUAUUUUAUUAAUUUGUAUACCGUCGUUAUUAGAUAAUUUUAUAAGAAGAUAAAUUUUUUAGAUUUUUUAUAAGAAAAUAUAUCAGAUCAAGGUGCAGUUUAUAAAUAAGAAGAAAUGGGUUACAAUAAAUUUAUUUAUACGGAUUUAUAUAUGAAAUUAUAGAUUGAAGGUGGAUUUGAUAGUAAUAAAAUUAAUUUAAAUUUUUUGAUUAUAGCUCUAAAAUAUGUACAUAUCGCCCGUCGCUCUUAUUAUAAAAUAAGAUAAGUCGUAACAUAGUAGAUGUACUGGAAAGUGUAUCUAGAAUGAC